AUAGUUUUAGUUUAAGAUAAAAACACUGGAGUUUGAGUCCAUAGAGGGUGUUAAAACCAAACUAUG
rnacentral:tRNA from 1 species